GUGAAUUGAUUAAGUCCUCCAAUCAUUUUACUUUUAAAUAAAAAAAAAUUAAACAAAAAAACUCUACUUUUGUUCUACCUACCUUUCUGUUUGUGUUCUCAUUCUAUUAAUUAAGUACUGCUUCUUGCAAUUGUUUUCCCAGCAAGAUUGCGGCACACACAUCUUGAAAUCCAAAUUCAAGAUUUUAAAGAAUUUUCUUAGCUCGAUCACUUUUAUGGCUUUUUCUGCUGUUGCAUCUGCAGUGCAACAAUUGGCAACCUGCUAACUGAGGAAGCCAUAUACCGAUGGGGCGUGGAGGAGCAAGUUGAUCGUCUGCAAACAGAGCUCAAUUGGAUGCAAAGAUACUUAAUGGACGCAGAGACAAAACAAUCAAAGGAUGAAAGGAUUCGUCUUUGGGUUGCUGAAAUCAAGGAUUAGGAAGGAUAAUGAGACGCCACUGACCUUUAUUCGGAUGUAGCAUUGCAUUUACAUGUUUGGUUUGCAGUGACCAUUCAUAAAUUUUGCUGUGACUACCCUGUUGCUAGUUCUUUUUUCCUACUUCGAUCUGCUCAAGUCUUUUAUGAUAUAAUUAAAUGUAAAAAUAUAUGUAAUAGUAGAAGCCAAGACAGGAUAUUGUAAAAUUGAUCAUUUUGUUUUUAAUGACCAUUUGUUCUCAUCUUUUUUCAUUUUUCAUAAA